GAUGUUUCCAGUAAAGAAUAUUGGAGAAAGAUUACCUCGUGAUGACCAUGUGCUAGAUUCCUGUUUAAAAAUCCCUAUUUCCAGAUCAUUUCAUAUGGAAAAACCACAUCAACAAGAAAAUUAGUUUCCUCAGAAGAGAGGGUUAUAUCCAACAGGAGACAACGCCAAAGAACUGCAAAGAUGAUAAGAAGGUAAAAGCCUGGGUUCUCUGGAUCAAGCUAUGCAUGUUCUUACGGAUGCUCCAGCAUGUGACCUUGAACAGGUAUCUACGCGACCUUCAGCAAGUCACUUAACUUUCUGAGUCUCAGCUGCCUCAUGUAAAAUGAAGAUAAUAGUACCUACUUCUUAAGGCCAUUAUGAGGAAGAAAUGAGAUAAUCCAGGUAAAGUAUGUAACUCUGUACCUGACAUUAUGCUACAUGUUCAGGAAAUACUAACAGCUAUCUAUUACAAUCGAAUGAUCAUCAACUAAGAUAUGCAAGGUCUUAUUUUUCUAAACAGGUAAGUGGAUCUAAAAGAACUUCUAAUUCCUCUCAGGUCUACUUAAUUUUACUUGCUAAACAUAGAUUCAAACAGGGAGUACUGAAGGAUAAAUUUUCAAAAACUAUGACCUCUUCCAUCUAAAUGUACCAGCAGCAACAUGAACUAUGAGUGACCAAUUUGCUUAGAAACCAUUCAAGAGCAAAGUAACCACUCAACGUAAAUCAGGAUUUGGGUAGCAGUUGUAGCAUAGAACUGAAUUCUUAGCAGCCCCUACAUUAAUGCAGAAAAUACCUGACAGGAAAUGAUGAAAAAGCAAAGGAAGACCAGGCUACAGACAACAGAGAGCAACUCUCAGGAGUAACAAGGGUCAGAAACAGAUAUUAGGAUCAUGGUAAAAACUCCCAUUGCAGUACAUGUGAGAAUGCUGAAGAGAAGAGAACAGAAAGUGGCUAGCCUGACCACCUUUGAGACUUUGCUGUGAGCUCUCACAGCAUACUCCAUGCAUGCCUCCAACAUUACACUUACCACCAUGCACAGAAAUGAUACCUUAACAGAUAUCUCCACCACUGUUUUGAAUCUCAAAAGCAGGGACCCAUCUUAUAUUUUUGUGCAUUUUCAUCAUGGCACAGAAUAAUAUUUAAUAAAUGUUGAGGUAAACAAAACAGCAAAACAAAACACUGUCAACUUUAACCCAUUUAGUAGAAUAACAACUCAGCAACAAUAUCUAUCUAACAAUAUACUCUAUAGGAAGGAAAGAGAAACUGGAGAAACCAAGCUGAGUGUGUUCAAAGCUGCGAGAUGCAAAAGAGGUGGAAAAUUUAGGGGACUCAAUAGAAAUUAAGUCCAUAUUAAAGAAGACACAGAAGAAUAUAUUUAAAUUUAGGUAAAAAGUAUCUAAAAACAUUGGGAAGAUGCAUUUAUAAAUACUGAAUUUCAUAUAUGCAUAAAGAAUGAGAUUGUACUGCAACUACAGUGACCCUUUGCCGAAAAUUUCAGAAUAACUGCUAUGUAAUGUUGUCUCCCUACUAAGCAUCCUUUGAUCUUUUAAGUGAGAUUUACCAUAUAUGUUAUGGGAAGGGCAUUACAGGGAUGGCUUAUUAACUCUGACACGAGAUGUAUUCAAAUGAAUCAAAGGACAUAUUUCCUGGGCUUUCCUGAAUGGACACUAAAAUGAGACAUAAUAAAAAGUUCCUUUUAGUUUGAACAGUUUAUACAAUGAGACAGAUUGACACAGAAAGCUUUAUCAUAGAUUCACAACCCACAUAUAUAACAAUGCACUCAGAAAAGAAGCUAAUCUAGUGACUUUAAAGAAUUAUUAUAGAGGUAAAAAUCAGCCAAAUUUCACCAAAUGAAAAUUAGCCUUAUAUUGCUCUUAAACCUGCUCACUGUAUGCAAUGCAACAAUUGCCCUUGGACUUAAGAUUCACUUUCUGCUCAUACAUGAAUGCAAGGAUAAGACCAUGUAGAAACCAAAUUGAACUUGCUUAAAGCCUUUAGCUUUAUUAUCAAGAAAAAUUAUCCUCUCCAAUUGGUAAGACAUAAAACACAGAAAAAAGAAAAGGACAAAAAGCAUCACAAAGCAAUGUUUAUAAACAAAGGCAGAGCCUCAAUUCACAAGAUGGUAAUUUCGAGCAAAAAGAAAAAGGCACUCCAAAGAAAUAAAGUGCACACAAACUAAGACUCUGCUAAGCAAGUUUUAUUUGUAAAACAUGUUUAAGAUGAGACUUUUUCAAAAAACUGCAACAGACAACCACUGGAGUACAAAAUCUCAAAGGUGAUCUUAACUGACUUACAUAAUUAUUCACUGUGAUAAAUGAAUGUGAGAUUUCAGAGUGGGUAGAAAUGCUCCCCUGGAAAUGGAGCAGGGACAGUGUAGAUGAAAGCCUGGAGGAAAAUGGGCAAAAAUUGCAAUCAGAAUCACAUUUUUCUCAAUUUUAUAUAUACAAUGUCUCCAACCAAACAAUUCUCAAUAGCUAUGCAGACUUUUAUC